UUGAACGCUGGCGGCAGGCCUAACACAUGCAAGUCGAACGGUAACAGAAAGAAGCUUGCUUCUUUGCUGACGAGUGGCGGACGGGUGAGUAAUGUCUGGGAAACUGCCUGAUGGAGGGGGAUAACUACUGGAAACGGUAGCUAAUACCGCAUAACGUCGCAAGACCAAAGAGGGGGACCUUCGGGCCUCUUGCCAUCGGAUGUGCCCAGAUGGGAUUAGCUUGUUGGUGGGGUAACGGCUCACCAAGGCGACGAUCCCUAGCUGGUCUGAGAGGAUGACCAGCCACACUGGAACUGAGACACGGUCCAGACUCCUACGGGAGGCAGCAGUGGGGAAUAUUGCACAAUGGGCGCAAGCCUGAUGCAGCCAUGCCGCGUGUAUGAAGAAGGCCUUCGGGUUGUAAAGUACUUUCAGCGGGGAGGAAGGGAGUAAAGUUAAUACCUUUGCUCAUUGACGUUACCCGCAGAAGAAGCACCGGCUAACUCCGUGCCAGCAGCCGCGGUAAUACGGAGGGUGCAAGCGUUAAUCGGAAUUACUGGGCGUAAAGCGCACGCAGGCGGUUUGUUAAGUCAGAUGUGAAAUCCCCGGGCUCAACCUGGGAACUGCAUCUGAUACUGGCAAGCUUGAGUCUCGUAGAGGGGGGUAGAAUUCCAGGUGUAGCGGUGAAAUGCGUAGAGAUCUGGAGGAAUACCGGUGGCGAAGGCGGCCCCCUGGACGAAGACUGACGCUCAGGUGCGAAAGCGUGGGGAGCAAACAGGAUCAGAUACCCUGGUAGUCCACGCCGUAAACGAUGUCGACUUGGAGGUUGUGCCCUUGAGGCGUGGCUUCCGGAGCUAACGCGUUAAGUCGACCGCCUGGGGAGUACGGCCGCAAGGUUAAAACUCAAAUGAAUUGACGGGGGCCCGCACAAGCGGUGGAGCAUGUGGUUUAAUUCGAUGCAACGCGAAGAACCUUACCUGGUCUUGACAUCCACAGAACUUUCCAGAGAUGGAUUGGUGCCUUCGGGAACUGUGAGACAGGUGCUGCAUGGCUGUCGUCAGCUCGUGUUGUGAAAUGUUGGGUUAAGUCCCGCAACGAGCGCAACCCUUAUCCUUUGUUGCCAGCGGUCCGGCCGGGAACUCAAAGGAGACUGCCAGUGAUAAACUGGAGGAAGGUGGGGAUGACGUCAAGUCAUCAUGGCCCUUACGACCAGGGCUACACACGUGCUACAAUGGCGCAUACAAAGAGAAGCGACCUCGCGAGAGCAAGCGGACCUCAUAAAGUGCGUCGUAGUCCGGAUUGGAGUCUGCAACUCGACUCCAUGAAGUCGGAAUCGCUAGUAAUCGUGGAUCAGAAUGCCACGGUGAAUACGUUCCCGGGUCUUGUACACACCGCCCGUCACACCAUGGGAGUGGGUUGCAAAAGAAGUAGGUAGCUUAACCUUCGGGAGGGCGCUUACCACUUUGUGAUUCAUGACUGGGG
rnacentral:rRNA from 1 species